AUCCAGCUGACGAGUCGCAAAUAGGACUAAACGUGCUUCCUAAAU
rnacentral:hammerhead_ribozyme from 1 species